UACGUAGGGUGCAAGCGUUAUCCGGAAUUAUUGGGCGUAAAGAGCUCGUAGGCGGUUUGUCGCGUCUGCUGUGAAAAACUGGAGGCUCAACCUCCAGCCUGCAGUGGGUACGGGGCAGACUAGAGUGCGGUAGGGGAGAUUGGAAUUCCUGGUGUAGCGGUGGAAUGCGCAGAUAUAGGAGGAACACCGGAUGGCGAAGGCAGAUCUCUGGGCCGUAACUGGACGCUGAGGAGCGAAAGCUGGGG
rnacentral:rRNA from 1 species